AUUGAACGCUGGCGGCAUGCCUUACACAUGCAAGUCGAACGGUAACAGGUCUUCGGAUGCUGACGAGUGGCGAACGGGUGAGUAAUACAUCGGAACGUGCCUAGUAGUGGGGGAUAACUACUCGAAAGAGUGGCUAAUACCGCAUGAGAUCUACGGAUGAAAGCAGGGGAUCGCAAGACCUUGUGCUACUAGAGCGGCCGAUGGCAGAUUAGGUAGUUGGUGGGAUAAAAGCUUACCAAGCCGACGAUCUGUAGCUGGUCUGAGAGGACGAUCAGCGACACUGGGACUGAGAAACGGCCCAGACUCCUACGGGAGGCAGCAGUGGGGAAUUUGGGACAAUGGGCGAAAGCCUGAUCCAGCAAUGCCGCGUGCAGGAUGAAGGCCUUCGGGUUGUAAACUGCUUUUGUACGGAACGAAAAGCCCCGGGUUAAUACCCUGGGGUCAUGACGGUACCGUAAGAAUAAGCACCGGCUAACUACGUGCCAGCCGCCGCCGUAA
rnacentral:rRNA from 1 species